AGUUAGCUCCUCUCUCUUUGUACAGGCAAAUGGUUGACUGCUUGUGACUUUAACUCCGAUCCGUGUAACAACGACGGCUACAUAGGAAGCAGCUGUACGUGUGUGUGUCGCCCGGGCACAACUGGCAACUAUUGUGAGACCAUCAUUGGCGGGUACUACGAUGGACUCUUAUCGCCCUGUACAGAAGUGGUGACUCAACCGGGCAUCAUCACCUCACCUAACUUCCCUGACCCGUACCCAAAGAAUGAAAAAUGCACUAAAAUAAUCCGGGCGCCAGAUUGUUACCUUCCCAUGCUGAAGUUCAAUUUCUUCCACCUGUAUCCCAUGACCUACAGCUGUAAUCAAGCCUGCUGCUAUGUAGAUAUUCUCGAGAUAAGGGUUAAUGGUCAGGAGUACGGCGACGUGUACUGCGACAAGGAUAUCUCUCCAGGAGACACGUUCGUCUCUGUUACCAACGAGAUAAUACUUUAUUUCCAGACAAAAUCUAACUUGCUGAAUGGCUGGUCAGCAACGGUUUCCUUUAUCCCAAUACCUGGCUGUUUGCCGAGUUACUGUACAUCUUAAGACUCCUGAGGAAGACCAGCCACGGAGUAGAGACGUCAUCCCUGAUUUAACUUGCCAGGGGCAUUAACAAAGUAUACCUUGGUUAUUUACAGAGCAAAUGCAUUUUUUUCAUUUUUUUACUUUAAUCCAAUAAAAUUAGUUUAUUAAUAGAGUAUUGUUUAUACUAGUUUAAUUAAGUGAAGAUUUCAGGCACUGACGCCGCCUUCAGUAACAAGAAUUUCUUAUUGUAUAAUAAUUUUUAUUAAUGUUUCAAUAUAUGAUUAUACAAAUGUUCUUUAGACUCUUGCUUUUAAGUCUGCCAAGAUUACUUUAUCGUCUCUACUGAUUCUUUAUCAUUAGCAUAUAGUACUAUCAUGUCUUACAGAACACAGUCGUCUGGUGAGGCAAAUUUACCAUCAGUAAUUUUAAGGCGACUAACAUUUGACUUUUACUGAACUGUAUUUUCGUAUAUCCAACAUAAAAGUAGUGACAUGUGCGUAUGAUUACUUAACCACCAUACGCUUUAGACUGAGACAGUACGGCUCAGUCCUACGGUAUCUAAUCGAAUAAAUUGGAAUAGCAGAA